ensembl:lncRNA
CACUAAUAGAUCGAGUCACGAGUAGAGUCACUCAAAUCAACCAGGUCACACCACACCACCCAUAUUAAUCAGGUCACACCUCCCCACCCAUAUUGAUCAGGUCUCCCCUCACCACCCAUAUUAAUCAGGUCACACCUCACCACCCAUAUUGAUCAGGUCACACCUCACCACCCAUAUUGAUCAGGUCACACCUCACCACCCAUAUUGAUCAGGUCGCACCUCACCACCCAUAUUGACCAGGUCACACCUCACCACCCAUAUUGAUCAGGUCGCACCUCACCACCCAUAUUGGUCCAGUCACACCUCACCACCCAUAUUAAUCAGGUCACACCACACAACCCAUAUUGAUCAGGUCACACCUCACCAUCCACAAUGGUCCACUCACACCUCACCACCCAUAUUAAUCAGGUCAAACCUCACCACUCAUAUUAAUCAGGUCACAUCUCACCACCCAUAUCGAUCAGGUCACACCUCACCACCCAUAUUAAUCAGGUUACACCUCGCCACACAUAUUAAUCAGGUCGCACCUCACCACCCAUAUUGAUCAGGUCACAUCUCACCCCCCAUAUUGAUCAGGUCACACCUCACCACCCAUAUUAAUCAGGUCACACCUCACCAUCAUAUCAAUCAGGACACACCUCACCACCCAUAUUAAUCAGGUCACACCUCCCCACCCAUAUUGAUCAGGUAUCCCCUCACCAUCUUAUAAAUCAGGUCACACCUCACCACCCAUAUUGAUCAGGUCACACUUCAGCAUCCACAUUUAUCAUGUCACAGCUCACCACCCAUAUUGGUCCAGUCACACCUCACCACCCAUAUUGAUCAGGUCACACCUCACCACCCAUA